rnacentral:rRNA from 1 species
UAGUUUGAUGAUGGCUCAGAAUCAACGCUGGCGGCGCGCUUAACACAUGCAAGUCGAACGAGAAAGCAUCCUUCGGGGUGUGAGUACAGUGGCGCACGGGUGAGUAACACGUGGGUUACCUGCCCUCCGGUGGGGAAUAACUCCGCGAAAGUGGAGCUAAUACCGCAUACGACCUUUGGGUGAAAGUCCUAGGACGCCGGAGGAGGGGCCCGCGGCCGAUUAGCUUGUUGGUGAGGUAAUGGCUCACCAAGGCUGCAAUCGGUAGCCGGCCUGAGAGGGCACACGGCCACACUGGCACUGAGACACGGGCCAGACUCCUACGGGAGGCAGCAGUGGGGAAUCUUGCACAAUGGGGGAAACCCUGAUGCAGCGACGCCGCGUGGGCGAUGAAGUCCUUCGGGGCGUAAAGCUCUUUCAGUGGGAACGAUAAUGACGGUACCCACAGAAGAAGCUGCGGCUAACUACGUGCCAGCAGCCGCGGUAAUACGUAGGCAGCGAGCGUUGUUCGGAGUUACUGGGCGUAAAGAGUGCGUAGGCGGUUACGUAAGUCUGGUGUGAAAUCUCCCGGCUCAACUGGGAGGGUGCGCCGGAAACUGCGGAGCUUGAGCACGGGAGAGGAAAGCGGAAUUCCUGGUGUAGCGGUGAAAUGCGUAGAUAUCAGGAGGAACACCGGUGGUGUAGACGGCUUUCUGGACCGUUGCUGACGCUGAGGCACGAAAGCGUGGGGAGCAAACAGGAUUAGAUACCCUGGU